CUUUGCACAACUCCUUUAAUUGAAUUUUCCAAAUCUCUCACCACACACAAAUAAUCAAUAUCUUCUGCAGAGAAAACCAGUCAGAAUUAUUACAGUCUUCCGUUUCAAUUUUGUUGUCAUCAGCACAUACAGAGCACCUGGAUAUUUGUAAUGUCUGAUAGCAAGUUAUUUACACCUCUUAAACACAUAAUUGCUAUUAAGUGAGUUAAAAUCUAUGGUGUAAAAAGUUUAACUGAUUAUUUAAAAGAUAAAAGCACCAUACUUUUAGUAAUGUAUAAAAAAAUUAAAUCAUAGGAGAAAUUAUUUAAAAGGCUUUGAAAAGUAAUAAACCAGUUUGUGUUUCCUUAAAUCCUAGACACAUCUCAAGUAAGCAGUUGAAAUAUAGCCCCAAACAGUGAUGAACAGUGUAAAGCACAAGCAUUAACAUUAAUAAGAGGAGAAGGUAUGACCCACAUACAGGAUAAGUGACAACUGAAUUCG
rnacentral:lncRNA from 1 species